CCUACGGGAGGCAGCAGUGGGGAAUAUUGGGCAAUGGGCGCAAGCCUGACCCAGCAACGCCGCGUGAAGGAAGAAGGCUUUCGGGUUGUAAACUUCUUUUCUCAGGGACGAAGCAAGUGACGGUACCGGAGGAAUAAGCCACGGCUAAAUACGUGCCAGCAGCCGCGGUAAUACGUAGGUGGCAAGCGUUAUCCGGAUUUACUGGGUGUAAAGGGCGUGUAGGCGGGGACGCAAGUCAGAUGUGAAAACCACGGGCUCAACCUGUGGCCUGCAUUUGAAACUGUGUUUCUUGAGUACUGGAGAGGCAGACGGAAUUCCUAGUGUAGCGGUGAAAUGCGUAGAUAUUAGGAGGAACACCAGUGGCGAAGGCGGUCUGCUGGACAGCAACUGACGCUGAGGCGCGAAAGCGUGGGGAGCAAACAGGAUUAGAUACCCUUGUAGUC
rnacentral:rRNA from 1 species